AUUGAACGCUGGCGGCAGGCCUAACACAUGCGAGUCGAGCGGAUGAAGGGAGCUUGCUCCUGGAUUCAGCGGCGGACGGGUGAGUAAUGCCUAGGAAUCUGCCUGGUAGUGGGGGAUAACGUCCGGAAACGGGCGCUAAUACCGCAUACGUCCUGAGGGAGAAAGUGGGGGAUCUUCGGACCUCACGCUAUCAGAUGAGCCUAGGUCGGAUUAGCUAGUUGGUGGGGUAAAGGCCUACCAAGGCGACGAUCCGUAACUGGUCUGAGAGGAUGAUCAGUCACACUGGAACUGAGACACGGCCCAGACUCCUACGGGAGGCAGCAGUGGGGAAUAUUGGACAAUGGGCGAAAGCCUGAUCCAGCCAUGCCGCGUGUGUGAAGAAGGUCUUCGGAUUGUAAAGCACUUUAAGUUGGGAGGAAGGGCAGUAAGUUAAUACCUUGCUGUUUUGACGUUACCAACAGAAUAAGCACCGGCUAACUUCGUG
rnacentral:rRNA from 1 species